UUACCGACUCCACGGACUCAACCUCUCUUAACCUCCUAUGAAUCUUCGCGCUACCCUCCGGGUUGUCCACGCCCUCACGUUCGAAUCCACGAACGCCUUCACUUCGAAUCCACGAAGCUUCAAUCACGCCGAAUCCACGACGCCACUCGAAUCCACGAACCUACGAUCCGAAUCCACGAACCGCCGUCAAAUACGCCGAAUCCACAACGCUACCAUGAAGAAUAUCAUGAAUAUGGUGAUCCUUUGCUUUGGAGUAUCGUAGAAAACCAGGGAAUAGAACUCCAAGCGAAGCGGAGAUCAAAUCGACAUAUUAAUAUCAAAUUUCAAUAUCUCGAUUUAAUCUAAAAGAGGCUU
rnacentral:lncRNA from 1 species